GUCAGGUGGCGCAAUGGGUCCGUGCACCUGGCUGUUAUCCAGGAGUUGGCGGUUCGAGCCCACCCAGGGACA